UACCAGUGUUGACUUGACAAAAGCGAAUUAAAUGAAAGUGAACGGAAGAAAACCACAUUGAGAGUGACCUGCCGAUAACUAAACUGUCGCCGAAGCGGUCGCUGGUUUAAGUAACUUCACGCGCGCUCAUUAAACCCGGUGGCUGCCGCGUAUCCAUUAGCUUGUAGCACUAGCUUAACGUGCUAAGCUAUUAGCCUCGUCUGCUGACGUCGGUCUGCAAGUUUGGCGUUUUCUGAGGGUUUCAGUCUCUUUCCGCUUCAGAGAGCAAGAUGGCUGCCCCGAGAAGAAGCUAAAGAACUGAUCAUCAAUCAAUGAUACGGGGAUGGCUGCCCCACGAAGAAGCUAAAGAACCGAUCAUCAAUCAACGCUGAGGAGACGGCGCUCCCAAAAAGAAGCUAAAGAACUGAUCAUCAAUCAACGAUAAGGAGCCGCUGCACCUGGCGGGAGUUUCCCUCUGCUCCUCGUGUGUGAAGCAGAUGGCAAACAAGAAACCGCUCCUCUCCCGCCAGAGCCACCCCGAUUUCUGCGACCAACUUUUUGCGGACGUGCCAAAUAACUCCAAGAAGUCUCGAUGCUCUCCAAAGUUGUGCUGGGCUUGGACCGAAUGCAGCGGACUGCGAAAGGGUCCCCACUGACGACAUACGCAAACAGGCCGGUUGGGCUGGAGGGGAGAAGAGUCGGUAUCACGGUGAGGCUCGCCUGACUCGGAGCGGGAGCCGCCUUCUGUCUAGCGUCAGAUCGCAGGAGAGUGAAGGAGAUGAGAUGUGAUUUUGGCUCACUCAGCAACGGGAGAUCUUGGACCGCUGCUCACUCCUCACAGAGACGUGGUUAACACCUGACAUCCCGGAUCAAGCUGUUGCACUGGAUGGACUGACAACGGAAGUUCAAAAUGCUCGGGCGUCAAGUGACUCACGGAGGCUUCGAAUAGUUCCCGGAAGUCUCUGGCGGGCCAUUUAAUGACAUUAUACAGGGAGACGAAACUCUGAUUUUCGCUAAAUAGCAGUCAAUAACUGCAUUGAUUUACAAUAUAAACAAAGCGCAUGGUAUUUAGUUUCAUUAUUUUAUUGUUUUUUUAAAGUAAAUGGUGCUAAUAUUUAAAGAUUAAUGUUAACAGCUAGAAUUAGAUUAGACCGAAUAGUCUCACACU